rnacentral:tRNA from 1 species
AAGACCUUAUGUUAAAUAAACAAAUAGCCUUCAAAGCUAUCAAUAUAAGAAUUAUCUUAUAGGUUUUA